CUUAUUUCUUCUUGCUUUCUCUCUUUUCUUUGUUCUUCGUCUGCGGUUCUUCUGUGAGAGGAUUAUGAGGUUGUGAAGUCGCUAAUCUUAAUAGAAACUCGAGGUGAUGACUGAUGUUGGUGGUGUUCUUAUUCAUUGAUCAUGAAAAGAAGAAGAGACGGUGAUUUGUAGAGAAAACAGAAAAUUAGGGUUUGGUAUGAAAUUGAGAGGUGAAUUGGGUUGUUGUUGGAUGAAGAACAGUGGAUAAAUGUUCAAUUGAGGUUUUGAGGUGGAUUCAGUGAUGAAUCAAUGAAUUAGGGUUGUGUUUUGUUCUUCCCAAAAUUAAGAAUUAGGCUUUCUGAGAUUCAUUGAAGAUGUGAUUUGAGAUGGUUAAGAGAAAUUAACGGAUUGGUUUUUAUGAACAUGAAGUGAAGAGGAAGAUAAUGAGGUUUAUUUACAGAUCCCAUCACUGAGAAGACUUUAAUUUCAAAAUUGAGGUGGUAAUGAAAAUGAUUGUAAUUGGUGGUCUGGUGUUGCAAUGGAAGUCUAGAGGGGGUUGGUAGAUAGGGAUGAGGUCGUUUGUGUAUCUGUGGAUGCAGGUGUAUAUGGAAUUGGAACUAAAUUUGCAGUUGUAGGUUAGGUUUAUGUUUUUUUCUAAAGUGAAGUUGAAUCACAGAGAACAAGGGCUAUAAGAUGCAAGAAUAUGUGUAGGUGAAAUUGAUUAAGGAAAUGUGAAGAUAUUGUUCUAGGUUAGUUACUCAGUAGUGUUGAAAGAUAAUAUAGUUGAUUAUUCUGGUAGUGGAUGUUAGUGAAAUUCUAAAGAUGUUAUGAAAUCAUGCUGAUACAGAGUUGCAGAUGAAAGUGUGGUGAAUCUGGUGGUCAUUAAUGAACUUGAAACGCAAAUGAUUCUAGGAUAGUUUGAAUUGCAAUGAUAUGGAUGGUGAUAGAUAAGUUUUGUGUUGAACUGCAACUUAAGAUAUGGUGACUUAAUCUUAAUGGAUUUGAGUUUAGAUUAAUACAUUGCAUGGAAGAGUCUCUAAAUAAGUAUAAUUGAUUGUGAUAAUUGUAGAAUCAGUGGGUAGUCUCUUUGAGAGCUUGCGGCUACUGCUUCUGCAGGUAAACUGAGUUUAUUGUUGUAAUUGAUUUAUAGAGUACUGUUUUGAUGUAAUGUGUUAUAAUGUUUUUGUAGACAUAGUAUUUGCUUCUGCAAAUGAGCUAUGAAUUAUGCAUCUUAAGUCGA